GGGGUUGUGGUUCAGAGGUAGAGCGCUCACCUUGCACGUGUGAGGCACUGGAUUCAAUUCUCAACACCA
rnacentral:tRNA from 1 species